AUUGAACGCUGGCGGCAGGCCUAACACAUGCAAGUCGAACGAGGCGCAGACGGGUGUGAAAUGUCGGGGACUCUGCCCGAUGGAGGGGGAUAACUACGGAAAACGGUAGCAAAUACCGCAUACUCUCGGAUGACCCCAGAUGGGAUUAGCUAGUAGGUGGGGUAACGGCUCACCGAGGCGACGAUCCCUAGCUGGUCUGAGAGGAUGAUCAGCCACACUGGAACUGAGACACGGUCCAGACUCCUACGGGAGGCAGCAGUGGGGAAUAUUGCACAAUGGGCGCAAGCCUGAUGCAGCCAUGCCGCGUGUAUGAAGAAGGCCUUCGGGUUGUAAAGUACUUUCAGCGAGGAGGCGUUACUCGCAGAAGAAGCACCGGCUAACUCCGUGCCAGCAGCCGCGGUAAUUC
rnacentral:rRNA from 1 species